rnacentral:rRNA from 1 species
CCUACGGGCGACAGCAGUGGGGAAUAUUGGGCAAUGGGCGCAAGCCUGACCCAGCAACGCCGCGUGAAGGAAGAAGGCUUUCGGGUUGUAAACUUCUUUUCUCAGGGACGAAGAAAGUGACGGUACCGGAGGAAUAAGCCACGGCUAACUACGUGCCAGCAGCCGCGGUAAUACGUAGGUGGCAAGCGUUAUCCGGAUUUAUUGGGUGUAAAGGGCGUGUAGGCGGGAGCGCAAGUCAGAUGUGAAAACUCAGGGCUCAACCCUGAGCCUGCAUUUGAAACUGUGUUUCUUGAGUGCUGGGGAGGCAAUCGGAAUUCCGUGUGUAGCGGUGACAUGCGUAGAUAUACGGAGGAACACCAGUGGCGAAGGCGGAUUGCUGGACAGUAACUGACGCUGAGGCGCGAAAGCGUGGGGAGCAAACAGGAUUAGAUACCCGAGUAGUC